rnacentral:rRNA from 1 species
AGGACGAACGCUGGCGGCGUGCUUAACACAUGCAAGUCGAACGGAAAGGCCCUUCGGGGUACUCGAGUGGCGAACGGGUGAGUAACACGUGGGUGAUCUGCCCUGCACUUUGGGAUAAGCCUGGGAAACUGGGUCUAAUACCGAAUAGGACUACGGGAUGCAUGUUUCGUGGUGGAAAGCUUUUGCGGUGUGGGAUGGGCCCGCGGCCUAUCAGCUUGUUGGUGGGGUGAUGGCCUACCAAGGCGACGACGGGUAGCCGGCCUGAGAGGGUGUCCGGCCACACUGGGACUGAGAUACGGCCCAGACUCCUACGGGAGGCAGCAGUGGGGAAUAUUGCACAAUGGGCGCAAGCCUGAUGCAGCGACGCCGCGUGGGGAUGACGGCCUUCGGGUUGUAAACCCCUUUCAGCACAGACGAAGCGCGAGUGACGGUAUGUGCAGAAGAAGCACCGGCCAACUACGCGCCAGCAGCCGC